rnacentral:misc_RNA from 1 species
CACAACUCGCGCAAAUCGCACGAUACGAGAAAUCGGAUAAGCCCAACACACUCCUUGUGUCCAGGAGCACCGUAUUCUGAGGUCAAAAUGCUGAAAACGACCGUGCCUCCUCAAAUCACAGGGGUUCAUCGUUUAUGAACGGCAUCAAAUAACGUUUCCUUUUUAUGUUUGAACAUGAACUCGGGCCAGUACAAGUACACUGUGGCUUAUGUUUACCCUCAUUAUCUCACGUCUAGCAGUUGUAAGACAUGUUAGGGCGAUCAUUCCCGAAACGGACGAUAUUAUCCGAACAUAUCCAGAUUACUCGAACAUGUCCUGACUUCUCGAACAUGUCCUGAUUACUGAAAAUGUCCUGAUUACUGAAAAUGUCCUGACUACUUGAACAUGUCCUGCUACUCGAACAAGUCUUCAUACCAUUCACAUGUCAACAAGGCCAGUAUAGAAAGGUCCGCAAGCACGUACACCCGUUCCUGGCUCGAGUGCUACUCGAACGAUACGGGAACAACUUUGGCACGGCGAUUUCCCCACGAGAAAUCUCGCGGACAUAAACAUUCGGCCUUCGCUUUCUGAACGAACGAAAGGACUAAAGGAUGCUCUGAUGCGAACCCACUAGGCCGUUUUUGUAGUGUAGAGGGACCAGAGAACCCAUGGGACAGCAAUGUCCAAUGCUUGCCACUUGAGUAUUCAACAAGGAACUUGGUCCUCAGCUGGUCGUAUAUUUUUGAACGCUAUCGUUAUCGCUACCGGUUGGCGAGAGGCGCAGAUCUACAAGCAGGCACUACUUGUAGUGGCUGUCUAGCACGGCGCUGACGCCACAUGCAGCAGUCAAAGGAGGACGAUACCAUAAAUACAUAUAUAUAUCUACCAGUGGUACAAGCACCAGUGUGUCUCAAAAGAAAGUGUGCAGUCGACUACACCAACUCCAACAUGCAAUCCGACAAAGAACAAACUCAUCACUUCGAGGAGGAUCUCGACGACCGAUUAAGAGCCAUCGAGUCGCGGUUGGACGUCAUCUCCGAGAGACUGGACGUGAAGACGGCCUCUGAAACCACGUCGUCGACGCCUCAGGCAUAUUAUUUUUCUUUGGUGGGAAUUAUCGCCGUCUUCGGCCUCCUGGUAGUCGGUAUUGAGUAUAUCAAGUACCUGAAGCAGUUGAAUGGCAUCGAAAACUAGGUGUACAAUUAUUCAAACAAUA